ensembl:lncRNA
UUAUGCAAAACACAUGGAAAAGUACAGGGACAAAUGGAAAAUAUCUGACUUCAAUGUCCUACUCUUUCUCUUCAGAAAAUGCUAUUAAGACUAUAAGAAAUAAUAUAUGUAUAAAUAGUAUGUAUUAUACAUAGAUUUUCAAUUAUUAUAGUUAAUGUAAAGACAUUUUCUGAAAACAAGUAUCUAGUUCCCUUUCAAGGGAACUUCGAACUGCGUCCUCUAGGGGUCGCUAUGGGGAAUGCCUCGUCGUGACCCAUGUCUGAAGCAUACAAUGGAAAAACACCAACACUGGAGACAGCCCCUGACGUCACUACCGGUGCGACUAUAGAAUUAAUAGGCACCGGGAGAACACGUCAUACUCUUCUUCAUCUUCACUAACUGUUCUAUUUGAAGCGUGCAUUUAAAACGUGGUAAGAGCGAUCUUUUUAAUCAAUCAUGGCGAGUACUAGCAAAGCGGUUAAACAGUGUGUGCAUCCGUGUCAUCAUUAUUUGACACCUGAUGACACACACAAUCUUUGCGUUGCUUGUUUGUGGGAAGAGCACGCACGCGAUGUCCUUGAGGGAGCAAAUUGCGUGCAUUGUGAGCAUUUUUCAAUGAAAAAGCUCUGUGCUUUUUCUCGUUUGUCUCUCUUUUCAAGUAAGGAGUGGCAGCCACCUGCUUCCCGUGGUUCAGGACCCACCACUGCUGAGGCACGGAGGAGAAUGAGCUCAUGGGGAUCACAGGUGGAUCUGGCUGCGGAGUUUAAAAAGGGACUUUCCCUUUCGCGCUUGUCGGCGGAGGAGGAGAGAGAGCCGCUGGAGUAUGAUGUUAUUUCCUUAACACUUUCCGAUCCAGAGGCUAGUGCUCUGCUGGGUUCGGCCCAGGAAGCAUGCUAGCAAGGUGAUGCCACAAGGUCAUCUCGACGAGCGUUAUUUUUCUGACCAUAGCCCUCCAUCUCAGGUGAGCCUUCAAUUUCUGCCUGAUCUCCAUACAGAGAUUGAUAAGGAAUGGAAGAGGCUUUUCUUCUCGCAUUCCAUCGGUUUCAGCAUACGAGUUAUGCCAACAUCGAGGCGAUGCGCGAAAGCAGCUAUGAGAGGAUGCCCCCUGUAGAAGAGACGCUGGCUAGCUAUCUCUCUGUGGGGGAGACGUCCUCUCUUAAAUCUCCCUCCUUCCCAUCUAAGCCCCUUUAGGAUACAUCUCACUUAAAUGGCAAGGCAUACGCAGCAGCAGGUCAGGCUGUGGCUUUAUUGCACACGAUGGUGGUGCUUCAAGCAUAUCAGGGCCUUUCUCCUGAUCAGGUAGCUGAGCUGCGCUGCACCACAGAUCUCUCUCUCUGUGCUACCAAGCAGGCCGCCUCCGCCAUGGGCAGGUCUAUUGUGGCCAUGGUGGUAACGGAGAGACAUCUGUGGGUGAACCUGGCAGAUAUCAGGAAGAAAAAAAGGGGCUUUCUUCUCGAUGCUCUGGUUUCGUCUUCCAAACUUUUCGGUACCACCGUUGAGACGGUGGUCGAGAAGUUCAGGGAGGCGAAGGCACGCUCGGUGGCCUUCAAAUCCUUCAUUCCCCGAAGGUCCAGGUCUGAACCUGAACAACAUAGGGGUCCUGGUCCGUCUUGGUCUGAGGAUCAGAGAUAGGCCAGGUCAUAGGCUUCUGCGGGAGCCUUCUUGAUCAUCAGGCCCCGGCACGGCACUGCAAAAAAAUUUCCUGGAUGUCCACUUAGGUCACCCUGAGGGGCUUCCUGGUCACCUGGAUAUCCCUUCUUGCUGACAUAUCGAGUGGAAAAUAUAGGUGGCAUUUGCGAUAAUCUGCUUGUAUAAUGCUGUCUCAGGCAGUGCUCCCCUCUCCAGAGGAUUGUAAAUUUGAGCUUACCUCUCCUGUGUGGUUGGGCACCUGUGCGAUGCUUAGGAAGCUUUAAGUACACAUGCUAAGCUCUGUGUACUUUCUGAAAUCCAUAUGGUGGUAAGUGUGCACGUUGAACACUUUGCACACUUUCUAAAAAUCCACGUAAUUGGUAAGUGUGCACGCUAGCACUUUGCGCACUUUCUAAAAUCCACAUAAGUGGUAAGUGUGCACGCAAGAUUCCGCGCACUUUCUGAAAUCCUGUACAUUAAGGGUUACGCGCUCAGCUUCAUUCCCUUUCUUCGAGUUGGUUAGACCUUGGUUCCUUGGGCUCCACUCAACCAGUGUGUCUUUAUUAAUACACUUCAAGCAUCACUUCCCUCAACAUGAAGGGCUAUUGUGGGCAUGCCGCUUCCCCUUAAGCGCCCGAGUUCUCUCCCCUUCUGAGGAACUGAAUUCCUUGCUCCGUGGGCUGUUCUCGUGGUAGUUAACAGCACUCCCCUUUACCAAAAAGGGUCGCCUAUGAGCGUGAUACUCUCUUUCUGAAUUCGGAGUUUUCCUCUCAUGUAAGAAUUGAGCUCUCUGUUUUCCCCUAGAGCACCUGGCAACCAGCAGCAUCUGGUUAACUGGGCAAUUCCUUCGCCUCUAUGAUGCGCUGAGGUCAGUUUGUAGGUCGACCCCCCCCCCCCCCUU